ACAGAUGGGAGCUUGCUCCCUGAUGUUAGCGGCGGACGGGUGAGUAACACGUGGGUAACCUGCCUGUAAGACUGGGAUAACUCCGGGAAACCGGGGCUAAUACCGGAUGGUUGUCUGAACCGCAUGGUUCAGACAUAAAAGGUGGCUUCGGCUACCACUUACAGAUGGACCCGCGGCGCAUUAGCUAGUUGGUGAGGUAACGGCUCACCAAGGCGACGAUGCGUAGCCGACCUGAGAGGGUGAUCGGCCACACUGGGACUGAGACACGGCCCAGACUCCUACGGGAGGCAGCAGUAGGGAAUCUUCCGCAAUGGACGAAAGUCUGACGGAGCAACGCCGCGUGAGUGAUGAAGGUUUUCGGAUCGUAAAGCUCUGUUGUUAGGGAAGAACAAGUGCCGUUCAAAUAGGGCGGCACCUUGACGGUACCUAACCAGAAAGCCACGGCUAACUACGUGCCAGCAGCCGCGGUAAUACGUAGGUGGCAAGCGUUGUCCGGAAUUAUUGGGCGUAAAGGGCUCGCAGGCGGUUUCUUAAGUCUGAUGUGAAAGCCCCCGGCUCAACCGGGGAGGGUCAUUGGAAACUGGGGAACUUGAGUGCAGAAGAGGAGAGUGGAAUUCCACGUGUAGCGGUGAAAUGCGUAGAGAUGUGGAGGAACACCAGUGGCGAAGGCGACUCUCUGGUCUGUAACUGACGCUGAGGA
rnacentral:rRNA from 1 species